AACGAACGCUGGCGGCAGGCCUAACACAUACAAGUCGAGCGCCCUUUCGGGGGAGCGGCGGACGGGUGAGUAACGCGUGGGAAUAUGCCCUUCUCUACGGAAUAGCCUCGGGAAACUGAGAGUAAUACCGUAUACGCCCUUUGGGGGAAAGAUUUAUCGGGGAAGGAUUAGCCCGCGUUGGAUUAGGUAGUUGGUGGGGUAAUGGCCUACCAAGCCGACGAUCCAUAGCUGGUUUGAGAGGAUGAUCAGCCACACUGGGACUGAGACACGGCCCAGACUCCUACGGGAGGCAGCAGUGGGGAAUCUUAGACAAUGGGGGCAACCCUGAUCUAGCCAUGCCGCGUGAGUGAUGAAGGCCUUAGGGUUGUAAAGCUCUUUCAGCUGGGAAGAUAAUGACGGUACCAGCAGAAGAAGCCCCGGCUAACUCCGUG
rnacentral:rRNA from 1 species